AGAGUUUGAUCCUGGCUCAGGAUGAACGCUGGCGGCGUGCCUAAUACAUGCAAGUCGAGCGAACGGACGAGAAGCUUGCUUCUCUGAUGUUAGCGGCGGACGGGUGAGUAACACGUGGAUAACCUACCUAUAAGACUGGGAUAACUUCGGGAAACCGGAGCUAAUACCGGAUAAUAUUUUGAACCGCAUGGUUCAAAAGUGAAAGACGGUCUUGCUGUCACUUAUAGAUGGAUCCGCGCUGCAUUAGCUAGUUGGUAAGGUAACGGCUUACCAAGGCAACGAUGCAUAGCCGACCUGAGAGGGUGAUCGGCCACACUGGAACUGAGACACGGUCCAGACUCCUACGGGAGGCAGCAGUAGGGAAUCUUCCGCAAUGGGCGAAAGCCUGACGGAGCAACGCCGCGUGAGUGAUGAAGGUCUUCGGAUCGUAAAACUCUGUUAUUAGGGAAGAACAUAUGUGUAAGUAACUGUGCACAUCUUGACGGUACCUAAUCAGAAAGCCACGGCUAACUACGUGCCAGCAGCCGCGGUAAUACGUAGGUGGCAAGCGUUGUCCGGAUUUAUUGGGCGUAAAGCGAGCGCAGGCGGUUUCUUAAGUCUGAUGUGAAAGCCCCCGGCUCAACCGGGGAGGGUCAUUGGAAACUGGGAGACUUGAGUGCAGAAGAGGAGAGUGGAAUUCCAUGUGUAGCGGUGAAAUGCGUAGAUAUAUGGAGGAACACCAGUGGCGAAGGCGGCUCUCUGGUCUGUAACUGACGCUGAGGCUCGAAAGCGUGGGGAGCAAACAGGAUUAGAUACCCUGGUAGUCCACGCCGUAAACGAUGAGUGCUAAGUGUUGGAGGGUUUCCGCCCUUCAGUGCUGCAGCAAACGCAUUAAGCACUCCGCCUGGGGAGUACGACCGCAAGGUUGAAACUCAAAGGAAUUGACGGGGGCCCGCACAAGCGGUGGAGCAUGUGGUUUAAUUCGAAGCAACGCGAAGAACCUUACCAGGUCUUGACAUCCUUUGACCACUCUAGAGAUAGAGCUUUCCCUUCGGGGACAAAGUGACAGGUGGUGCAUGGUUGUCGUCAGCUCGUGUCGUGAGAUGUUGGGUUAAGUCCC
rnacentral:rRNA from 1 species